rnacentral:lncRNA from 1 species
GGUAAGCUGUGGGUGCGCGUGGACAGAAAAAGUGAUCGAAUAGACUGUGGGCCUUGGACAUCAGGUCUCUCUGUUCCACUGUGGGGACUGAGCAUGGGAAUUGGCCUUUUGAAAAUGCCCUUGGCUAGUCGAUGGGGACCCCCAUUACUAAGGGGAUCCCUGAUGUCUCUGACUGGAAGACAGCUUGGACUCUCAGACAUUAGAUGUGGGAACUUGCGAGUAGAUUUUCCACUGAAUGUCUGGCCUGCCCUCGGUGAUGGUGCCUCUGCUUGGCGGAGCACCAGCUCCUACUGUUGUGUGGAAUUCGGGUGUCACCAGAGAAGUGCUGGGCUGUGGUCCACAGGCUUGUUUACUGGGCCCCGGGGAGUGCGAGUGGUCGCUUUCUACAGAAGCCACAGCGACAUUUGGGACCCUCCAGUGGUUGCUGGUGGAAUGGCGAUGGAGCUUCCUGGGAACCUUGGCAAAGAUCUGCCCAGGAGGCACCAAUAGAGGAAUGAAAAGCAGUCACCACGCAGGCGCUGGUGGCCUUUGGCUUGGGGAACAGGCCCAAUUCCAGCCCACACCUGCCCUGCGGGCGGCCACGUUCCCCUCAAGUGUUCAGCGUCUAGUUCUCUUUGAUUUCCACCUGGCUUUGCCUCACAUAUUUGAAGGCUCUGUUCUUCAGGGGCGUCACACCUAGGGAAUAUUUUACCUUUAGUAAAUUGAGCCUUUGUUAUUGUGUGAAGUCCCAUUUCACCCCUGGUAUGGUUUCUGUUCUGAAGUCUCCUUUGUCUAUAUUAACAUUGCCACUCGAGUUUCUUUUGAUGCCUAUUUUCAUUCUGUAAUCCUCUUUCAUCCCUCUGCUUUUAAAAAAAAAAAAAUUUUUUUUUUUUUUUUAGUUGAUGGACCUUUAUUUCAUUUAUUGUUUUUAUAUGCGGUGCUGAGAAUCCAACCCAGUGCCUCACACAUGGGAGACAAGCCCUCUACCACUGAGCCACAACCCCAGCACCAUCUUUCUGCUUUUAACCUGUGUAAUUUUAUUUAAAGGUGAGUUUGUAUAAAUAGAGCACACAUUUGGGGCUUGUAUUUUCAAUCCAAACUGAUAAUCUCUGUCUUUUAAUUGGUGUAUAUAGACCAUUUAAAUUUAAUGUAAUGAUUAAUAUGGUUGAGUUUAAGCUUCCUAUUUUGUCAUUUGUUCUGUUUGUUCCUACUGGUUUUUAUUGCUCGGUUACCUCUUUCUCCCAAUUUUUGGGAUCAUUUAAAUAUUUUUGGUACUUUCUGAUUUAUUUAUUUAUUUUUGUGGUUCUAGGGAUUGAAAACGGGACUUCAUGCAUGUUAAGCAAGCACUUCACUAAGCGACACCUCAAACCCUAUUAUGGUUUGGAUGUGAGGUGUCCCCCAAAAGCUCACAUGUGAGACAAUGCAAGAAAGUUCAAAGGAGAAAUGAUUGGGUUGUAAGAGUCUUAACCCCAUCAGUGUUUUAAUCCCACUGGUAGAGAUUAAUUGAGUGGUAACUGAAGAGGUAGGGUGUGGCUGGAGGAGGUGGGAGCUGGGGUGUGGCUUUGGGGUAUAUAUAUUCUGUAUCUAUCUGGAGAGUGGAGUCCCCCCCCCUCCCCGUGCUGGGGAUCCAACCCAGGGCCGUGUGCAUGCAGGGCAAACACCCUACCAACUGAGCUAUAUCCAUAGCCCCUCUCUGCUUCUUGAUUACCGUGAUGUGAGCUGCUUCCCUGUGCCACACACUAGGCCAUAGUUCAGCCUCACCUUGAGCCCCAAGAAAUGGAGCCUUUUAUGGACUAAGGCCUCUGAAACCGUGAGCCCUCAAAUAAAUCCUUUCUCCUCUUCAGUUGUUCUGGUCAGAACUUUAGUCACAGCAGCAAAAAAGCUGACUAAAACAAGCCCCUGGUACUAUAUUUAAUUUACCUACACUAGUGCUUGUUGUCCAUAUCUGUUAGUAUUAUUACAUAGGAGUUGCUCUGGACUGCACAACAUACAUCCCUCAUUUUUAAUAUUCUAUCUAAAUUUAAUAUCUUAAUACUUAAAGUAAAAUGUACAAGCCUUAUAAACAUAUUUUACCCUCCUCUUUAUACUUUAGUUGUAUAUCUCUACAUUCAUCAAACAUUUUACCAACAAUAUAUUUUUCUUUCCGCAGUCAAAAUAUUUUAAAGAACUUUAGAAAACAGUCUAUUCUAUUUAGUCAGAUAUUAACCACUUCUCUCGCUCUUUCAUUCCUAGAGCACCAAGUUUCUCUCUCAUCUCCUCAGCCCAAAAAACUUCACUUAAUAUUUAUUUUAGAACAAGUCUGUUGGCAACAAUUUUUUUACAUUUUCCUUCAUCUGAGAACAUCUGUUUGACUCCAUUCCUUAAGAAUAUUUCACCUAAACCGAGAGCACUGUUCCACUGCCCUCUGUCCUCCAGGGUUCCUGAUGACAAAUCUGCAGUCCCUCUCAUCCUUCCCACGUCUGCUAUGUCACGUUUCCCGGCUGCUUCCUAGAGCUGCUUCCCAGAGCUUUAUCUCUGGUUGUGGGCAGUUGAGUGAGUGUAUAUGGGCCCAUUUUCUUUGAGUUUAUCUUGUUGGAUGGCUCAUGGAGCAUCUUGAAUCUGUCAAGUUGUUUUUCACCAAAAUCUGAGGAGUUUUGGUCAUUAUUUUUUCAAAUGUUUUCUGUACCAGUCUGUUUCCCCUUUAUUCCUGAGACUCCAGUGGCAGAGGUGUUAGACUUUUCAGUGUUGUCCCAGAGGGCUCUGCGCCUCCUGUUCAGUAGUUUUAAUCAUUUUUCUCUGUUCUUCACAUUGAAAAUUUUUGAUCUUCAAGUUCACUAACGCUUUCCUAUGUUGUCUCAUUCUGCUGUGUUGUUUCAGACAGUGUGUUUUUCAGUUCUAAAGUUGCCAUUUAGUUCCCAUUUCUUCCUCAUGGUUUCUGUUUCUCUGCUGAGAAACUAGCACCUUUACCUUCAUUUAAAGUGCAUUCAUCUUCCCUCAAGAGGUUAUGUCCGUCACUUUAACACCAGUGUCCAUUCCGUUAUCUGAGUCAGCUCAGCAUUGCCAUCUGACAGUUCUUUUCCUUCGUUUGUUCACAUUUUCCUGGUUCUUUAUACAUUGAAGAAUUUUUGACACUUUGAUGAUUCUCUUGGGAGACUCCAUGUUCUGUUGUAAUCCUCUGGAGAAUAUUGAUUGAUUGCUGCUGUGUGGCAGGCAAUCACCUGAUUAGACUCAUACCACAAGUUCUACCUUGUUCUCUAUGAAUGGUGUUUCCUGCGCCACCUAAGUUGUUAAAACCUUUCCUGUGCUCCUUUGGGCCUUGCCUUUGCAUGUGCCACUCUGAGGUUAACUGGAAGCAUGAUGGUAGUUCAGUUCUCAAAGCUCUUGUAUCCUACUUUGGAUUCACUCCUGCAGAGUUUAAGGUCGAACCCAGGAUUUGUUCCAAUUCAUACUUAGAACUGGGAGGGUCCCCUUCUUCAGCUCUGCCCCCUCUGCGAUUCCCUGAACACUUUCUGGAUCCCAGGAGCCUCUUUCCCAACCCUCUGGCCAGCAAUCCAGAUUUUCUUUCAGAGUUCCAACUGCACUUCCUGCCACUGGGGUUGGCUGAAGAACAGGGCUGGAGGAGGAAAAAGGGAGAGGAAGAAAAAGAGAAAAACCAGGGAUUUCUCUGUACUCUUUGAUUUGUGAAGGCCCCUUUUCUUGGUUCUGUGGCCAAGAAGACAGAGUCGGAGAGGUCCAUGGUGGGCUGCCUUCGUGUCAAACACGGGGAAGCAACAGAGGAAACCAGACCAGCAACACAGCCCUCCUCUCCACCUUCAGCUUUGACUCCCCGGCAGUCUGUGGCCUACUGUUUACUCUUCAGGGGUCUCAAGUUUGAUCUCGUUCCUCCAAGACGGCUUGUUUGCUAAGAGGACUUAGCAGGCACUGGAAAGAGACCUUGUCCUCCUUUCCUCUUCAUGGAAGUCUCAAUGUCACAUUCUGUGCAAACCCUCAAGUGUUGUAGUAUCUGUAUUCAGAACACGCAUGCGUACACCACACACAUAUCCAGUCUCUUUUUCCAAUUUGUAGAGCAAAUUCAACCCCUGGGUAGGGAAGCCCAAGAAAACAAUUUCCUGACACAAUGCCUUUUAAAAUUCAGCCUGGAGACUGCAUCUGUAGUCCUUUGGACCUUUGCAAGGUCAGUCUCAUUGAUUCUGCAUUCUCAUUUUGUUGGCUUCAAUAUAUGGGGCAGUGGAACUUAAUCAAUAUAAAUUGGAUUGCAUUUCAGAGAUCAGAGUUCUGCCUGCAUUAGAGGAUGAUUGCUUUACAGCUGGAGAUUCCAUUUGUAUUGAGCUCGGCUCCUGGUCCACGUGAGGCCUGUACUGAAGAGCUGACUAGUGAGCCUCAGCACGGCAGCCUCCUCCCCCACCUCCCCUCUCUGCUCACCAGUCGUGCCAACUAUUUGUGGAGGCUACAGUUUUUAGAAGGAAAAACAGUGAAUGGUUUGACCACGGGAAAUAUGAGACUCACACCACAAGUUCUACCUUGUUCUCUUGUAGCUGAGGAAUCUGAUGGUUCUUUUCUAGUCACUGAGCCUCUGGGUUUCUAAGUAUGGGUGGCCUUGCACGUUCACCAAAGAACUUCUGUCUGAGUGUUCCUGCAUACAUAUUACCCAAGAUGAGCCAAACCUGUUAGAAAAAAAUGACUCUGUUGUCUCUUAUUAUCUUUCUUCUUCUUCUUUAUCACUUAACAAAUGAGUCUGGCAUAUAUUAAUAAAUAUAUCAUCUGAGAGACAUUAGUGCUUUAAAUAUUACUUCUUUUUAAAAAACCUAGUUAAGACAGGCUUGGUGGCACCCACGUGAAAUACCAG